AGAUUGAACGCUAGCGGGAUGCUUUACACAUGCAAGUCGAACGGCAGCGCGGACUUCGGUCUGGCGGCGAGUGGCGAACGGGUGAGUAAUAUAUCGGAACGUGCCCAGUAGCGGGGGAUAACUACGCGAAAGCGUGGCUAAUACCGCAUACGCCCUACGGGGGAAAGGGGGGAUUCUUCGGAACCUCUCACUAUUGGAGCGGCCGAUAUCAGAUUAGCUAGUUGGUGAGGUAAAGGCUCACCAAGGCGACGAUCUGUAGCUGGUUUGAGAGGACGACCAGCCACACUGGGACUGAGACACGGCCCAGACUCCGUACGGGAGCAGCAGUGGGGAAUUU
rnacentral:rRNA from 1 species